CUUUCCAAAAGGUUUUCUCGAGAUGGAGCCGUGAUGAUGAUCAUGGGUACAGCAGAAUUAUUUAACGAUGAAGGUGGUGAGGAAGAUGAUGAUAAGUCACUGCUGAGAGACUCGUCUACUGUGAGAAUGAAAAAAGUGGUUGGAGGAGGUUAUGGAAAACUGCAACUGAAGAGUGAGUGGAGAGUCGUUGGAGUCUGAAGGAGAAGAUGCUGGAGACACAGGAGAUUAAGGAGAUGAAGGAGACACAGAGGAUCAGGAGAGACGAUGGAGGAAUAAUGUAUAAACAAUCCAGGAUGCAGGCAAUUGUUAAGCGUGAGUGGGUGAGCAACAGGAAGGAUGAUGGGAAAUGGAGUUCAGGGAAGGGGGAAUCUCCUCAACCACCACCAAUGUGCAGCAUCCACCUGUAUGAUGAGACGGCAGCC